GAUGAAGAACGCAGCGAAAUGCGAUAAGUAGUGUGAAUUGCAGAAUUCAGUGAAUCAUUGAAUCUUUGAACGCACAUUGCGCCCUUUGGUAUUCCUUAGGGCAUGCCUGUUCGAGCGUCAUUUAAACCUUCAAGCUAAGCUUGGUGUUGGGUGACUGUCCGCUUCACGGCGGACUCGCCUCAAAAUUAUUGGCGGCCGGUACAUUGGCUUCGAGCGCAGCAGAAACGCGAACUCGGGCCCGUCGUAUUGGCUCCCAGAAGCUAUCUUCACAAUUUUGACCUCGGAUCAGGUAGGGAUACCCGCUGAACUUAAGCAUAUCAAUAAGCGGAGGA
rnacentral:misc_RNA from 1 species